CCUACGGGUGGCAGCAGUGGGGAAUAUUGCGCAAUGGGCGAAAGCCUGACGCAGCGACGCCGCGUGAGGGAUGAAGGUCUUCGGAUCGUAAACCUCUGUCAGCAGGGAAGAACGGUCACUGUGCUAAUCAGCAGUGAAUUGACGGUACCUGCAAAGGAAGCACCGGCGAACUCCGUGCCAGCAGCCGCGGUAAUACGGAGGGUGCGAGCGUUAUUCGGAAUUACUGGGCGUAAGGCGCUCGUAGGCGGUAUGUCAAGUCAAGGGUGAAAUCCCCGCGCUCAACGUGGGAACUGCCGUUGAAACUGGCAAGCUGGAGUGUGUGGGAGGAUGGUGGAAUUCCAGGUGUAGGAGUGAAAUCCGUAGAUAUCUGGAAGAACAUCAGUGGCGAAGGCGACUAUCUGGCACAUAACUGACGCUGAGGAGCGAAAGCGUGGGUAGCAAACAGGAUUAGAUACCCCGGUAGUC
rnacentral:rRNA from 1 species